GAUGAACGCUGGCGGUAUGCUUAACACAUGCAAGUCGAACGGACUCUUCGGAGUUAGUGGCGGACGGGUGAGUAACGCGUGAGAAUCUGGCUUUGGGUUCGGGACAACCACUGGAAACGGUGGCUAAUACCGGAUGUGCCGAGAGGUAAAAGAGAAAUUGCCUGAAGAUGAGCUCGCGUUUGAUUAGCUAGUUGGUGAGGUAAAGGCUCACCAAGGCAGCGAUCAGUAGCUGGUCUGAGAGGAUGACCAGCCACACUGGGACUGAGACACGGCCCAGACACCUACGGGAGGCAGCAGGGGGGAAUUGUCCGCAAAGGGCGAAAGCAUGACGGAGCAAUACCGCGUGAGGGAAGAAGGCUCUUGGGUUGUACAUCUCUUUUCUUAGGGAAGAACAAAAUGACGGUACCUAAGGAAUCAGCAUCGGCUAACUCCGUG
rnacentral:rRNA from 1 species